CCGCCGCCAGGUUGCAGUUGAUGUCGAUCAGCGACUUCAGCUUUUCUGGCUGUGGAUUGAGCUGCAGUUCCGCGGUCUGCGUCAGGACGAACGUGCCGAUGUUGGCGAUGUUCUGACGAACCUCGAUGGUUUGCGGAUUUUCGUCGCUGGUCACCGCGCUCAGAAGGAUCGCCCAGAGCUUGCGGUUGAAAAGCAGUGCUUCGGCGAAAUUCGUAUCGGGAUGAUCCCAGUUCGUCAUCGCAUGCUGAA
rnacentral:misc_RNA from 1 species